AAUAUGCUAAGUCAUUGGUUUUCCUAGCUGACUCAGGCAACCCAUUCCUUUAAAGUGGUAUCACAUUCCGGGCUCACAUAGGUCUCACCAGCCACACGAGGAGACAUAAAACCC